rnacentral:lncRNA from 1 species
CUUAUCUAAAACAUGUAAUUACUGGGAAAUUCCAGAUUAAUUUCCUGCAAGUUUUAGUUAGUUAACGAUUGUGUUAAACACUUAAGAGAGCAGCUCCUAGAUGACUAAACCUGCUCAGCUGAAAUCAAAUGCUCUCAUGCUUCCCUGAAUGGACACACACAGAGUCUCUUCACCUGAGGAAUAAAGUGUAAGAUCUUCAGAACUUUUAUUCAGGGGAGAAAGGCCCAGGUAGCUGCUGCUGUUCAGCUUAAGGCUAAUCUGACCUUCUAUAACAGGAGUUCAAGUCCCAGAAAUCCCUAGUCCUCCAUCAGAGAAGCAGCUAGUGUGUACUGCUCUCACAGAGAGAAAUAGAUGGGGCGAGUAAAUACUGCACUUUCAACCGAAACAUACAGAUACACAUGUUGGAAUUCAUCAAGAAAACAACCUGACCCAUGGAGAAUGGAGAAAAGCAGGGCAGGACAACCGCCCACACGGGAGAAACAUGGAGCCAGGGGAACCUCCCCAUCCAGGGAAGCCGUGAGUGAAUGAGCGACCCUGCGGACCAAUGCUUCUCCCAUGGAUCGUUGCUACUCUUGGGUCAGGAGAUCCCCUCAUGAACCCACUCCACUAGGGCCUUCAGUCAGAUACACAGAGCUAUGGGGAGUCUUGGCAGAGCAGCCGCUCAGGUACACACGGAGCCCCAGGAGCCUUAGAUAUCCUGGCUUCCUGGCAAAAGUAACUGCUACUCCAGCCAAGUGGGAGGUUAGACCCCCAUACCUACUCCUAUGAAAGGGGCUGAAUCCAGGGGGCUGAGCAGCGAUGAUCUGCAGGCCUCACUUCCAUAGCACUUCAGAGGUCACAGGAUAAGACCCACUGGCUUGGAACUCUAGCCAGCUGCUGGUAGCAGCAUUACACAUCCCUGAGAGGGAGCUCUCAGAGGAAGGGGUAGGCGGCCAUCUUUGCUGUUUCACAGCCUCAGUCCUUGUUGCCUUCAGGCUUUAGAGAGUGCAAGGUGAUCCAUCAGUGACUGGAGUGGACCCCCCAGCACAACAUGGCUGUCCUGUGGAAAAGUGGCCAGACUGCUUUUUUACACAAGUCUCCAAACCUGUUUCUCCUCACUGGAUGAGUCCUCCUGGCCUGGGUCUCCACCCACCCCCUGCCAGGGAUAUUGAGCCAGUAGCAGCUCCAUAAC